UAAUACGUAGGGACCAAGCGUUGUUCGGAUUUACUGGGCGUAAAGGGCGCGUAGGCGGCUUAACAAGUCACUUGUGAAAUCUCCGGGCUUAACUCGGAACGGCCAAGUGAAACUGUCAAGCUAGAGUGCAGAAGGGGCAAUCGGAAUUCUUGGUGUAGCGGUGAAAUGCGUAGAUAUCAAGAGGAACACCUGAGGUGAAGACGGGUUGCUGGGCUGACACUGACGCUGAGGCGCGAAAGCCAGGGGAGCAAACGGGAUUAGAUACCCCGGUAGUCCUGGCCCUAAACGAUGAAUACUUGGUGUCUGGAGUUAUAUGUGCUCCGGGUGCCGUCGCUAACGUUUUUAGUAUUCCGCCUGGGGAGUACGCUCGCAAGAGU
rnacentral:rRNA from 1 species